rnacentral:rRNA from 1 species
ACCAGACUCCUACGGGAGGCAGCAGUGGGGGAUAUUGGACAAUGGGGGAAACCCUGAUCCAGCGACGCCGCGUGAGUGAAGAAGUAUUUCGGUAUGUAAAGCUCUGUCAGCAGGGAAGAAAGAAAUGACGGUACCUGACCAGGAAGCCCCGGCUAACUACGUGCCAGCAGCCGCGGUAAUACGUAGGGGGCAAGCGUUAUCCGGAAUUACUGGGUGUAAAGGGAGCGUAGACGGUGAUGCAAGUCUGGAGUGAAAGGCGGGGGCCCAACCCCCGGACUGCUCUGGAAACUGUGUAACUUGGGUGCAGGAGAGGUAAGCGGAAUUCCUAGUGUAGCGGUGAAAUGCGUAGAUAUUAGGAAGAACACCAGUGGCGAAGGCGGCUUGCUGGACAGUAACUGACGUUGAGGCUCGAAAGCGUGGGGAGCAAACAGGAUUAGAUACCCCAGUA